rnacentral:tRNA from 1 species
GGUAAGAUAAGCUAAAUUUAAGCUAUUGGAGACAUAGUCCAAAAAUGAUUAAUUUCUCUUACUU